rnacentral:lncRNA from 1 species
GUUAAGAGAUGGGUUCUUAUAUUCCGCUAAAAACUCCACCCUAAAAACUCUCCAAUAAUCAUGUUCUUACGUCCUUCCACCUUUCAAACCUCAAAAACUUCAUACACGUAUCACAAACUUUUGGCACAUGUAGAUGUUUUGCGUUUUGUUUUUUGGGUAAAAGACUCAAUAAAUAUGGUGAAAGUGUAUAUAAUCUGGCUCUUUAACAACCACAUUAUUGUCCUUGGACACAAAUCAAAAC